GGGGAGUUUCCCGAGUGGUCAAAGGGGACAGACUGUAAAUCUGCUGGCUCCGCCUUCGUAGGUUCGAAUCCUUCACUCCCCAGCA
rnacentral:tRNA from 1 species